rnacentral:rRNA from 1 species
UACGGAGGGGGCUAGCGUUGUUCGGAAUUACUGGGCGUAAAGCGCACGUAGGCGGCUUUGCAAGUCAGAGGGUGAAAGCCCGGGGGCUCAAACCCCCGGAAUUGCCUUUGAGACUGCAUCGCUAGAAUUGUGGAGAGGUAAGUGGAAUUCCGAGUGUAGAGGUGAAAUUCGUAGAUAUUCAGAAGAACACCAGUGGCGAAGGCGACUUACUGGACACAUAACUGACGCUGAGGUGCGAAAGCGUGGGGAGCAAACAGGG